rnacentral:rRNA from 1 species
GACGAACGCUGGCGGCGUGCCUAAUACAUGCAAGUAGAACGCACAGUUUAUACCGUAGCUUGCUACACCAUAGACUGUGAGUUGCGAACGGGUGAGUAACGCGUAGGUAACCUGCCUGGUAGCGGGGGAUAACUCUUGGAAACGAUAGCUAAUACCGCAUAAUAUUAAUUAUUGCAUGAUAAUUAAUUGAAAGGUGCAAUUGCACCACUACCAGAUGGACCUGCGUUGUAUUAGCUAGUAGGUGAGGUAACGGCUCACCUAGGCGACGAUACAUAGCCGACCUGAGAGGGUGAUCGGCCACACUGGGACUGAGACACGGCCCAGACUCCUACGGGAGGCAGCAGUAGGGAAUCUUCGGCAAUGGACGAAAGUCUGACCGAGCAACGCCGCGUGAGUGAAGAAGGUUGUCGGAUCGGAAAGCUCUGUUGUAAGAGAAGAACGGGUGUGAGAGUGGAAAGUUCACACUGUGACGGUAUCUUACCAGAAAGGGACGGCUAACUACGUG